GCUGGGACAUGGGUUUUUUUCCUGCCAUGAGAUUCAAAUUAAGACGUUAGCUCUUCUUCGAUCUCAAGACUGCUGACCUUUGGAACUACACCACUGCUCUCCUGGAUCUCGAGCUUCCUGACUGCCGAUCUUGGGACUUCUCAGCCUCCAUAAUCAGAUCACAAGCCUGAGGGAGCAGACUCUGAUCCACAGAGAAGUCCCACCUGUCGCCCCAGCAAAGUGAGACACACGAUAACUUCCUCGAGGUGAAACUGGG